GCACGUCCCAGGUGCCCAGAUGCUGGGGGACUGCAGGGAGGGGCUGCUGGUGGAACCCGCAGAAGCAGAAAUGAGGACGAGCCGGGCUCUCCCCGGGAACUGCAGGAGCAGGAGACGUUAACCCGCGCUGCCUGCUGUGUGAGCAGCCCAAACCAGCCCCCGACACCAGGCUCCGGCUCGAAACCCCGUUUUAUCCCGGCGCGCUCCACUCCGCCCCACCCUCCGUCAUGGCUGGCGAUCGCUGUUGCGGGGACCGAGGCGCAACAGGGAAGGUCUGAGGGCCGUCUGGCACUCCCAGCUCGUGAAGUCAACAAUUCCAAGUGGCAAUGACCCCCAAGGAGAGGGAGCCAGGACAGCAGGGCACAGCUGACCCUCGAGGCCAUGGACGUCACCCCCAAGUAAGACGAAGCCGCUGAUCCUGCCAGUUCCGCUCAGUUGGCCUCUGUCAGUUGUGACCACAAGGUUAUGUGAAGCCCAGAUAGGACCUCUUUCAAAUGAAGAAGAGCUAAAACCAGCCAGGACCAGAGAAGACACGGGUACUGCAAGGUGUCCAGCUGCUUUUGUAGGGCUCACAUAGGCGAAACCACUCAUUGAAAAGAAAGACUGACAGGCUUCACGGCUUUCUUCAUCCAUGUGCUGAUUUUUAGGAAACACAAUUUGAAUUAAACGCCAUCUCCCCUUGAUUCUUCCUUGGCCAUCUGCUUCAGGGAGCCUUAGAGGUUUGGGGCUUUUUGAGAGCGGGUUGAGGACCAUUUCCUUCCUCUCUCCCCUCGCUGUGGUUUCCGAGCCCACAGCAGCAGGCCUGGGGGAGGUGCUUGAGGCAUUCGGGCAUCCUCACGACCAGCGGCCAGGGACACCCCCCACCCCGGCGCCCUGUGCCCCCCUUCCGUUCAGCUCACCGCAGUGAAUGGCAGAUUCCUCUGCCCGGCUCGGGUUUCCAAUCACCAUAGAAACCAACUCGAGGCAGUUUCAUUAAUCAUUUAGAGCACGAGAAGUCCAGGUCAGUCUGAUUGCAGCAUAUAGGGUAUCAUCUCCGGGCCACAUGGGACUCAGUCGAUUUGAAUUAAAAAAGAUUAAGCUGCCCUGGGCUGCCUGGCCCCAUCAGUUUAAGUUCUCAUGUAACAGUGGUCUCUGGAGCCAUAUGGAUUAGUGAGUGAAGCUAUGCAUUUAUGUGGCAGGAUUCAGUGAAACAUUAGCUGGCUGCAGGUGUCUAAGGGGAAGAGGACGGGAUCACAUACAGUUUUUUUUGUACUUGUUGCUGUUCUUUUGAAACUGGAAACAAUAACUCAGUUUUACUUCUCCAGUGACAGUUACCGCUCUUGCUGACCAUGAAAUGGUACAUUUGUUGCCCAGGGUUUAUGGUUCGGGACGAAAGGGUCUGUGUGCAGCCAGGGAGUGGCGUGUCCCGUACCUGCUACGGGGUGGCGGGUGAGAAUGUUGACAUCCCCCUCCGCAACCAGCCCCACCGCCUUCCUCUCCAAUGGAGUGGUAAGAAAUGCAUCAAAUAAAUAUUGAUGACAUUUUAGUUUUGCUCAAAUCAGGAUUUACGAGCCCCAGGAAAUUGACUUAGAGGCAGCUACAAAUCAAUGUAGCCCUGAAAGAGCUGUGUAGGAACCCCUCAAAAUGAGCCCCCACCCCUCCCAAAGUACUUACCUUAUUUAUGGGCCACUCCAGGACUUCAAAGAGGCUCGGUAACUUAGGCCAGACUGUUUUAUGGCUCCGUGGGGCUAAGAUGUUGCAGGAGGAAGAUGCAGGUUACAGUGUAUAAGGGAGCCUCUCUCGGGCGGUGGGCAAAAGCUUUCUGUAUCUUGAACGGGCUGAUCCAAGCUUAUUACACUCUGGCUUCCUACAGAAUCAUCCUAAAUCUUCCCAGCCAACCCGGCCUUGUCCGCAGUGCCAGGUGUCAAGCCCCAGAGAGAGAGCCUUUGUGCUCUCCUCCCGCCCCUUCCCCCCAACCCCUGCCUCCCCUGGGGCAUCUGUCUCAGGCCUGGAGGACCCAGUUCCAGGGUGUUCUGUGGGGUUCCGGGGCCUGUCUAGCCCCAGUCCAGCGUCCUGUCUCCUUUCCUCCUUGUGACGCUGAUGGCCCUGAGAUGGGAGAAAGCAAUGCGCAGCCUGAGACCUCUUCCAGCCGCUCCUCGUUCAGCAGGAGUAGUGCGAGGGGCGGGUAAGCCGGGAGCUGGGAGCCCCAGGUCCUCGGGCCAGCCGAGCUCCUGCCCCCCGGACGCAUCCCCUGGGGCCUCUGCUUCCUCAUCUCUGCGAUGAGAAAACUCAGCCGUCCUCCACCGGUUCUGAGGCUCUAAAACACCUCCCUGCUUACGGGGCCCCUCGUGGGUGCUGGAAAAGGAGAACACGCUGCCCCAGCUUCCAGGAGCCUGUGAUGUUUGGGGGAGAGGGAACAGGAGCAUGGGUACGAUCCAGCCCCAGGUGACCUGCCCUUCCUCCAAGCCCCAUGGCAUGGCACUUACAGAUGGGACCCCCAGAGCAGUACCCCUGGACCCUCUCGUCCUGCCCCAAUGCUAGCAUCUCCGUGGGGGGUAAGCCUUGGCUUUCCUCAUGGGCUGCAGCCACGCCCUCAGACCCCCACCCAGCGGGCAGAGGGCGGGCUGACAGAAGGAAGAACGAGGAACACAGGGAGGAAACGUGGAAGGCGACACAGCAAACAGAUCUGGAACACAAGUGAGGAUGCUUCGUUAUGGACUCGACUUGCUAGCUGUGACUUUCAACCACUGCCAGCCUUGGAACAGCAGGAAAAGCCCAAGUGCUGGAGUCAGGUGGCCUGGGGCUCUCCGUCCCGGCUCUGUCACUUGCUACUCAGUGGGAGCUUAAUCAAGUGACUUUACACGGGGGACUCUGCGGUCCCUCCAGGAUCUGCUUUGGGAAUGAAG